rnacentral:snRNA from 1 species
AUCACAAAUAUUCUUAUUCAUUGC